CGAACGCUGGCGGCGUGCCUAAUACAUGCAAGUAGACCGCUGAAGAGAGGAGCUUGCUCUUCUUGGAUGAGUUGCGAACGGGUGAGUAACGCGUAGGUAACCUGCCUUGUAGCGGGGGAUAACUAUUGGAAACGAUAGCUAAUACCGCAUAACAAUGGAUGACACAUGUCAUUUAUUUGAAAGGGGCAAUUGCUCCACUACAAGAUGGACCUGCGUUGUAUUAGCUAGUAGGUGAGGUAACGGCUCACCUAGGCGACGAUACAUAGCCGACCUGAGAGGGUGAUCGGCCCCACUGGGACUGUGAAACGGCCCAGACUCCUACGGGAGGCGGCAGUAGGGAAUCUUCGGCAAGGGGGGCAACCCUGACCGAGCAACGCCGCGUGAGUGAAGAAGGUUUUCGGAUCGUAAAGCUCUGUUGUAAGUCAAGAACGAGUGUGAGAGUGGAAAGUUCACACUGUGACGGUAGCUUACCAGAAAGGGACGGCUAACUACGUG
rnacentral:rRNA from 1 species